GAUGAACGCUAGCUACAGGCUUAACACAUGCAAGUCGAGGGGCAGCAUGAACUUAGCUUGCUAAGUUUGAUGGCGACCGGCGCACGGGUGAGUAACACGUAUCCAACCUUCCGUUUACUCAGGGAUAGCCUUUCGAAAGAAAGAUUAAUACCUGAUAGUAUGGUGAGAUUGCAUGAUAGCACCAUUAAAGAUUUAUUGGUAAACGAUGGGGAUGCGUUCCAUUAGGUAGUAGGCGGGGUAACGGCCCACCUAGCCGACGAUGGAUAGGGGUUCUGAGAGGAAGGUCCCCCACAUUGGAACUGAGACACGGUCCAAACUCCUACGGGAGGCAGCAGUGAGGAAUAUUGGUCAAUGGGCGAGAGCCUGAACCAGCCAAGUAGCGUGAAGGAUGAAGGUCCUACGGAUUGUAAACUUCUUUAUACGGGAAUAAAGUGAGCCACGUGUGGCUUUUUGUAUGUACCGUAUGAAUAAGGAUCGGCUAACUCCGUGCCAGCAGCCGCGGU
rnacentral:rRNA from 1 species